GAGUUUGAUCGUGGCUCAGGAUGAACGCUGGCGGCGUGCCUAAUACAUGCAAGUCGAGCGAACGGACGAGAAGCUUGCUUCUCUGAUGUUAGCGGCGGACGGGUGAGUAACACGUGGAUAACCUACCUAUAAGACUGGGAUAACUUCGGGAAACCGGAGCUAAUACCGGAUAAUAUUUUGAACCGCAUGGUUCAAAAGUGAAGGACGGUCUUGCUGUCACUUAUAGAUGGAUCCGCGCUGCAUUAGCUAGUUGGUAAGGUAACGGCUUACCAAGGCAACGAUGCAUAGCGACCUGAGAGGGUGAUCGGCCACACUGGAACUGAGACACGGUCCAGACUCCUACGGGAGGCAGCAGUAGGGAAUCUUCCGGCAAUGGGCGAAAGCCUGACGGAGCAACGCCGCGUGAGUGAUGAAGGUCUUCGGAUCGUAAAACUCUGUGAUUAGGGAAGAACAUAUGUGUAAGUAACUGUGCACAUCUUGACGGUACCUAAUCAGAAAGCCACGGCUAACUAC
rnacentral:rRNA from 1 species